rnacentral:rRNA from 1 species
UUGAAAGGGAAACGAUUGAAGUCAGUCAUACCAACGGGAAAUCAACCUUUUGAGCUCGGUCUCGUGGGUUUUGAAGAGUUUCAAAGCCUUCGGAUUCGCGAGAUUGGGAACUCUUGGUGUACUUUUUCGUACGGUUAGUCAACAUCGGUUUUGAAUGUCAUAAAAUGACCGGAGGAAUGUAGCUUCGAUCUCGUAUUGAAGUGUUAUAGCCUUUGGUAGAUGUGGUGUUUGGGACUGAGGAUUGCAACGAAUAUCCUUUGGGCUAUCCGCCUGAUCUCUGAAAGUUGCUUAGGUGCCGAAAGCAUGCUUACGGUUAUUUAAGUUGACGGUCAAAAGGUUAGAACGUGAUUACAUUCGUUAAGGAUGUUGACGUA